GACGAACGCUGGCGGCGUGCUUAACACAUGCAAGUCGAACGGAAAGGCCCUUCGGGGUACUCGAGUGGCGAACGGGUGAGUAACACGUGGGUGAUCUGCCCUGCACUUUGGGAUAAGCCUGGGAAACUGGGUCUAAUACCGAAUAGGACCACGCGCUUCAUGGUGUGUGGUGGAAAGCUUUUGCGGUGUGGGAUGGGCCCGCGGCCUAUCAGCUUGUUGGUGGGGUAAUGGCCUACCAAGGCGGCGACGGGUAGCCGGCCUGAGAGGGUGACCGGCCACACUGGGACUGAGAUACGGCCCAGACUCCUACGGGAGGCAGCAGUGGGGAAUAUUGCACAAUGGGCGCAAGCCUGAUGCAGCGACGCCGCGUGAGGGAUGACGGCCUUCGGGUUGUAAACCUCUUUCAAUAGGGACGAAGCGCAAGUGACGGUACCUAUAGAAGAAGCACCGGCCAACUACGUGCCAGCAGCCGCGGUAAUACGUAGGGUGCGAGCGUUGUCCGGAAUUACUGGGCGUAAAGAGCUCGUAGGUGGUUUGUCGCGUUGUUCGUGAAAACUCACAGCUUAACUGUGGGCGUGCGGGCGAUACGGGCAGACUAGAGUACUGCAGGGGAGACUGGAAUUCCUGGUGUAGCGGUGGAAUGCGCAGAUAUCAGGAGGAACACCGGUGGCGAAGGCGGGUCUCUGGGCAGUAACUGACGCUGAGGAGCGAAAGCGUGGGGAGCGAACAGGAUUAGAUACCCUGGUAGUCCACGCCGUAAACGGUGGGUACUAGGUGUGGGUUCCUUCCUUGGGAUCCGUGCCGUAGCUAACGCAUUAAGUACCCCGCCUGGGGAGUACGGCCGCAAGGCUAAAACUCAAAGGAAUUGACGGGGGCCCGCACAAGCGGCGGAGCAUGUGGAUUAAUUCGAUGCAACGCGAAGAACCUUACCUGGGUUUGACAUGCACAGGACGCCGGCAGAGAUGUCGGUUCCCUUGUGGCCUGUGUGCAGGUGGUGCAUGGCUGUCGUCAGCUCGUGUCGUGAGAUGUUGGGUUAAGUCCCGCAACGAGCGCAACCCUUGUCCUAUGUCGCCAGCGGGUUAUGCCGGGGACUCGUAGGAGACUGCCGGGGUCAACUCGGAGGAAGGUGGGGAUGACGUCAAGUCAUCAUGCCCCUUAUGUCCAGGGCUUCACACAUGCUACAAUGGCCGGUACAAAGGGCUGCGAUGCCGUGAGGCGGAGCGAAUCCUUUCAAAGCCGGUCUCAGUUCGGAUCGGGGUCUGCAACUCGACCCCGUGAAGUCGGAGUCGCUAGUAAUCGCAGAUCAGCAACGCUGCGGUGAAUACGUUCCCGGGCCU
rnacentral:rRNA from 1 species